CCGGGUCUAACGACUGCCCGAACCAAAACAGUGCACCUUUACCGUACACACUCUUCCGCUGCGGCGGGCCGCUCGCUGGGGGAGCCCCCGGGGCCGAGAGGCCUGGCCCGCCGAAGCGACAGACACCCGUCUCCGAAGCUCGACGCUCCGAAGCACGCUCUGAGAGGCACAGAAAGCCUUCUGAAGGCAAAUCUUGUCA
rnacentral:misc_RNA from 1 species